CGUGGAAAAAUCUAAAACAAGAUUGCAAGAAUUUGGUGCAGAUAUUUACGAGAUAACAGUUAACUCAUUGCAGCGAAGAAAAUGGAGAAAACUGUCUUUCUGGUUAUGUUGGUACUUUGCACCCUUUUUGGUUUUCUUAGCGGACAAGGUAAAGGAAGGGGGCGCCGCAGAGAAUUGGCUUUGACGCCCCGAGGCGGUUUUGUGAGGUGCACUUGUCCUGGUAAAUCGGGUGAGGGCGACGUUUGGAGUUAUCGAGUCCUGUGUCCAAUUGGAAGAUAUCGUUAUACCUCUUAUUGUUCUUAUUUUUCAAUUUUCUCCCUGUGUUGCUAUCCGGGAGGACAAUAAACUAGCGAAAAAUAUAGUUAAAUGACAUACGAUAUAACUGACAUAAAGUUCAUCCCGGUGUACGGGUUGUAAAACUUCGGAUUACUUUCGGAUUCCACGUGCACAGCUAGCGGCGCAUGGCGAGGAUAGCCGAUGUUAUCCAAAGUACCGCGUACUGGCUGGUCAACUUGGCUGCUCUAUCCCCCUGUUUACGACUGCUUACGACUUUUUAUCGACUGGGAAACGUUUGACCAACGUUUUCAAACCAUGAUUCGGUAGGAUUCAGUGAUAUCUACGAGGUCAUUGCAGCCAUUUUUUGUAUUGAAUUUUAUCUGUUUAAUUAAAGCGCUCUCAGGU